rnacentral:lncRNA from 1 species
AGGUUCAUUAAGAAAAUUUUGAUCAAGUCAAUUACCUGGUUAGAGUAAACUAGGCAUGCACAACAUGUCCAUUUAAAAUACAAUACACUUUUAUUAAGAAAAAAUUGAUCAGUCAAUUACCUGGUUAGAAUAAACUAGACAGGCACAACAUGUCCAUUUAAAAUACAAUACACUUGCUCACAAAUCAGUGUGUUCAGAACUAACAGUCAAAAAGAAAUACUCGAAAGAUAACUGUAACAAAAAGAAACACGGUUUGCAGGCAAAUUUAAUCUAGUUACGAGCAUGUUGAGCUUAUAUAUCUGAAGAUAAAGAAUAAGAAGUCCAGUAUCUGCUCUGCACAAGUGAGUUCACUCGAAUAUAUAAGCCUCACAGCUGAUGC